UACGGAGGAUGCAAGCGUUAUCCGGAAUGAUUGGGCGUAAAGCGUCCGCAGGUGGCAAUGUAAGUCUGCUGUCAAGGCGUCUGGCUCAACCAGAUAAAGGCAGUGGAAACUACAUAGCUAGAGUAAGGUAGGGGUAGAGGGAAUUCCUGGUGUAGCGGUGAAAUACGCAGAUAUCAGGAGGAACACCUAUUGCGAAGGCAGCUCGCUGGGACGUAACUGACGCUGAGACGCGAAAGCGUGGGGAGCAAACAGG
rnacentral:rRNA from 1 species